rnacentral:rRNA from 1 species
UACGUAGGGAGCAAGCGUUGUCCGGAAUCAUUGGGCGUAAAGCGCGCGUAGGCGGCCCCGUAAGUCCGCUGUGAAAGUCAAAGGCUCAACCUUUGAAAGCCGGUGGAAACUGUGGGGCUAGAGUCCGGAAGAGGCGAGUGGAAUUCCUGGUGUAGCGGUGGAAUGCGCAGAUAUCAGGAGGAACACCAAUAGCGAAGGCAGCUCGCUGGGACGGUACUGACGCUAAGGCGCGAAAGCGUGGGGAGCAAACAGG